CAACCUCAAAUUAGUUUUCCAUUUGGUUUGUGGUUUUGUGGCUGCACAUUUCCAACCUUAAAUUCUGCCAUCGAAUCUUUCUUUCUGCUCAUUUCUUGUUUCUUUCAAACACAACCCAAAAUCUCUGGGGAAUUGCUAGAUUCCCUGCUUCUCCUUGCAGCUGAUUUUGGGUUCUGACCCAAAGGUUAUAUUCCCAACUGGGUUUUGUUGAAUCUUUGUUGGUGGUUGUAAAUUUUGUGUUCAGGGUUUGAAAGUUGAUUUUUUUUUUCUUCUUCUUCUGGAUUCUGGAUUCAAUUCCCUCGUGAGCCUCCAAUAGUAUUUGCUUGAAUUGGGGUAUUUUUAUUUAUCAGAAUUGUUAGGCUCAAGGCUUGAAACCUGAAAAUGACGAUUGGUAGUUUAGCACCGAGGGCAGAGAAGAAGAGAUCAAGGAAGAACAAGGCAGUUGUUAAUGAGAAUGCACCCUUGUUGCCGAAAAGUCUUGUUCAGGAGAGUGAUUCUGGGUUUGAUGAUUUCAAUGGAGCUUCAUUUUCUGGGGCUGUUUUCAACUUGUCCACCACAAUUAUCGGUGCCGGAAUCAUGGCCUUGCCUGCAACCUUGAAGCAGUUGGGGAUGGUGCCUGGUCUUGCUGCCAUCAUCAUCAUGGCCUUGUUGACAGAGAAGUCAAUUGAGCUUUUGAUUAGGUUUACCCGGGCAGGGAAGUCUGUUUCUUAUGCUGGACUUAUGGGGGAUUCCUUUGGGAAGUAUGGAAAAGCUCUGGUGCAGAUAUGUGUUAUAAUCAAUAACAUUGGUGUGCUGAUUGUUUACAUGAUUAUAAUUGGUGAUGUGCUCUCCGGAACAUCUUCAGGUGGAGAUCAUCACUAUGGUAUCCUCGAAGGAUGGUUUGGUGUGCACUGGUGGACUGGACGGACGUUUGUUGUCCUUUUUACAACACUUGCGAUAUUUGCACCGCUGUCAAGCUUUAAGCGAAUUGAUUCAUUGAGAUUCACAUCUGCCCUUUCAGUUGCACUAGCAGUUGUUUUUCUAGUCAUUGCUGUGGGAAUUGCAAUUGUGAAGAUAAUAAGUGGAGGUGUUGCGAUGCCCAGACUCUUCCCGGUUGCUACUGAUGUGGCAUCAUUCUUUAAACUAUUCACUGUAGUUCCUGUCUUUGUGACUGCCUAUAUCUGCCACUACAAUGUUCACAGCAUUGACAAUGAACUUGAGGACUCCUCACAGAUGCGAGGGGUUGUACAAACCGCCCUUGCUCUGUGCUCUUCAGUGUAUGUAAUGAUAAGCUUCUUUGGGUUCCUCCUAUUUGGUGAAGGAACUCUUGAUGAUGUGCUGGCCAAUUUCGAUACCAAUCUUGGAAUUCCUUUCGGUUCUGUGCUCAAUGACGCUGUUCGAAUAAGCUAUGCUGCACAUCUCAUGCUUGUAUUUCCAGUUGUCUUCUAUCCUUUGCGGCUCAAUAUAGAUGGUCUCUUCUUCUCUUCAUCAAGGCCUCUGGUUUUGGACAACUUCAGAUUUGCAUCACUCACUGCUGCUCUAAUUGGUAUUAUCUUCCUUGGAGCAAAUUUCAUACCUAGCAUUUGGGAUGCUUUCCAGUUCACCGGAGCAACUGCUGCAGUCUGUAUAGGAUUCAUUUUUCCAGCUGCCAUCACUCUUAAGGACCGUUACGACAUUGCAACCAAAUCAGACAGGAUUUUGUCUAUCGCUAUGAUAGUCUUGGCAGUCUUCUCAAAUGUUGUGGCUAUUUACAGUGAUGCCUAUGCCUUGAUCAAACAGAACAAAACUUCACGAGAGUGAUGGUCAUGAUUUUAGAUGAGAGGAACUGAAUUGAUAGGGCUAUUGAUCAAUUUGAAAAUCAGGGUUUUCAAAGAGCGUUUGAUGGGUUGAUUUGAAUAAACAGAGAAGCUACCCUGUGUACAAACUUGCUUCAGAAGUGUCGAGGCCUGCAACAAGCGUUCAGCCUCCUUUGUAAUUUGCCAUUUUGUUGUUUUCGUUGAAGUUUUUAUUGAAUAUUACUCUCUUUCCCUGAUUUGUUCUUCCUCAAAUGUAAUGAUAGAAACCUUUGAUGGCAUUUGUAUUUAUUGUAUUGGGUGAAGGAAUGAAGUAUGAAAGAAUAGUAUAUAGUUCAAGAAUUGGUCAAGAGCAAAACUGUAGCAGCUUUCAUUUA